UAAUACGGAGGGGGCUAGCGUUGUUCGGAAUUACUGGGCGUAAAGAGCGUGUAGGCUGUUUACCAAGUUAGGCGUGAAAGCCCUGGGCUUAACCCAGGAAAUGCGUUUAAAACUGGUAAGCUAGAGUUCAGAAGAGGAUAGCGGAAUUCCAAGUGUAGAGGUGAAAUUCGUAGAUAUUUGGAAGAACACCGAUGGCGAAGGCAGCUAUCUGGGAUGUAACUGACGCUGAGACGCGAAAGCGUGGGGAGCAAACAGGAUUAGAUACCCUGGUAGUCCACGCCGUAAACGAUGAGUGCUAGCUGUUGGGAGAUUUAUCUCUCAGUGGCGAAGCUAACGCAUUAAGCACUCCGCCUGGGGAGUACGAUCGCAAGAUUA
rnacentral:rRNA from 1 species